UUGUAACACGGGCCGGUGCUAAAGGUUCCUUCCUAACGGCUACUGACAGGUGCUAUCGGGACAGGGACCCUUUAGCACCGGUUCUUGUUACCAA
rnacentral:pre_miRNA from 1 species